rnacentral:lncRNA from 1 species
CAGGCACCUUGCCAGCUCGCUGCGAGAGCGAUUACGGGACCCAAGACCAGGAGGAAGAGGAGGAACAGGGAAAGCCACCUAAGUAAUUGUGCAGGAAAAAAAAUUUUUUUUGAUUCCUCCUUGAAGCCACUUUCCAUGAUUUAAUAAGGUCAAGACAAAUCUGAACACUACAUCAGGCAGCGCCGUACGCUUCUCAUGGCACACAGGAAGAAUUGGCAAGAACUGGACAAUGUACAGACCAGUAAGGAGAAGACUUCAGACAUAUAUACCACUAACAGCAUAUUUCUUUCAUGAGUCAUCCAAUUUCCUCUUUGUGAUGGUAGAGAGCAAAAGAUUGGGAUGAAUGGAUUGUUUCUCCUUGCAAAGUACCCAGACGCCGCUUGGACUCGAGCAAAAUAAAAUGGAAACAGCACUGGAACGGAUACA